rnacentral:rRNA from 1 species
UGAGGAAUAUUGGUCAAUGGACGGAAGUCUGAACCAGCCAUGCCGCGUGGAGGAAGAAGGUCCUAUGGGUUGUAAACUCCUUUUGUUCGAGAGUAAUAAGUGGGAUGCGUCCCACGAUGAGAGUAUCGGACGAAUAAGCAUCGGCUAACUCCGUGCCAGCAGCCGCGGUAAUACGGAGGAUGCAAGCGUUAUCCGGAUUUAUUGGGUUUAAAGGGUGCGCAGGCGGCGCGUUAAGUCAGCGGUGAAAUCUCCCGGCUCAACCGGGGAACUGCCAUUGAUACUGGCGUGCUAGAGUACGGACGGCGCCGGCGGAAUGUGUCAUGUAGCGGUGAAAUGCUUAGAUAUGCCACAGAACACCGAUCGCGAAGGCAGCUGGCGAGGCCGGUACUGACGCUCAGGCACGAAAGCGUGGGGAUCAAACA